CUCGAGGCUAUCCUUUAUUUUCUAUCUGUUUAUCUCUGCAAGAUUCUCUGCUAUAAAUCCUUUUAUCUAAUAUUUCCUGCUGCUCGCACUCAAGAAAACUCUGGGGAGCUGUGGGGCUGGUGAGUAAACGCCCCACAGUGAAGGAAACAUGAAGAAAGGCUGUCAGCA